rnacentral:rRNA from 1 species
GACGAACCGUGCGACCGUUGUUCGGAAUCACUGGGCUUAAAGGGCGCGUAGGCGGGCUGCCAAGUCCGUGGUGAAAUCCUCCCGCUCAACGGGAGAACGGCCUCGGAUACUGGCGGCCUGGAGGGGGGUAGGGGCGUGCGGAACUGUGGGUGGAGCGGUGAAAUGCGUUGAGAUCCACAGGAACUCCGGUGGCGAAGGCGGCACGCUGGACCCUUUCUGACGCUGAGGCGCGAAAGCCAGGGGAGCGAACGGG